AUUGAACGCUGGCGGCAGGCCUAACACAUGCAAGUCGAGCGGAGCGGAGGACGGGUGAGUAAUGCCUAGGAAUCUGACUGGUAGUGGGGGAUAACGUCAGGAAACGGGCGGAAAUACCGCAUACUAUCAGAUGAGGCUAGGUCGUGUGAGCUAGUUGGUGGGGGAAAGGCCGACCAAGGCGACGAUCCGAAACUGGUCGGAGAGGAUGAGCAGUCACACUGGAACUGAGACACGGGCCAGACUCCUACGGGAGGCAGCAGUGGGGAAUAUUGGACAAUGGGCGAAAGCCUGAUCCAGCCAUGCCGCGUGUUUGAUGAAGGUCUUCGGAUUGUAAAGCACUUUAAGUUGGGAGGCGUUACCAACAGAAUAAGCACCGGCUAACUUCGUGCCAGCAGCCGCGGUAAUUC
rnacentral:rRNA from 1 species